rnacentral:tRNA from 1 species
CCCCCGGUAGCUCAGUUGGUUAGAGCAGCUCCCUUUUAAGGAGAGGGUCCUAGGUUCGAGUCCUAGCCGGGGGA